CCUACGUGAGGCAGCAGUGAGGAAUAUUGGUCAAUGGGCUUACGCCUGAACCAGCCAAGUCGCGUGAGGGAAGACUGCCCUAUGGGUUGUAAACCUCUUUUGUCAGGGAGCAACGCCGGCUACGUGUAGCCGGACUGAGAGUACCUGAAGAAAAAGCAUCGGCUAACUCCGUGCCAGCAGCCGCGGUAAUACGGAGGAUGCGAGCGUUAUCCGGAUUUAUUGGGUUUAAGGGGUGCGUAGGCGGAAUGCCAAGUCAGCGGUAAAAUCGCGGGGCUCAACCUCGCUCCGCCGUUGAAACUGGCGUUCUUGAGUGGGCGAGAGGUAUGCGGAAUGCGUGGUGUAGCGGUGAAAUGCAUAGAUAUCACGCAGAACUCCGAUUGCGAAGGCAGCAUACCGGCGCCCAACUGACGCUGAAGCACGAAAGCGUGGGUAUCGAACAGGAUUAGAUACCCGAGUAGUC
rnacentral:rRNA from 1 species